rnacentral:rRNA from 1 species
CCUACGGGUGGCAGCAGUGAGGAAUAUUGGUCAAUGGCCGCAGGGCUGAACCAGCCAAGUCGCGUGAGGGAUGACGGUCCUAUGGAUUGUAAACCUCUUUUGUCAGGGAGCAAAGGGCGCCACGUGUGGCGUUUUGCGAGUACCUGAAGAAAAAGCAUCGGCUAACUCCGUGCCAGCAGCCGCGGUAAUACGGAGGAUGCGAGCGUUAUCCGGAUUUAUUGGGUUUAAAGGGUGCGCAGGCGGUCUGUUAAGUCAGCGGUCAAAGCCCGGGGCUCAACCCCGGCCCGCCGUUGAAACUGGCAGUCUCGAGUUGGAGAGAAGUAUGCGGAAUGCGCGGUGUAGCGGUGAAAUGCAUAGAUAUCGCGCAGAACUCCGAUUGCGAAGGCAGCAUGCCGGCUCCACACUGACGCUGAGGCACGAAAGCGUGGGUAUCGAACAGGAUUAGAUACCCCAGUAGUC